GCCAGGUGUGGUGGCGGGCACCUGUAGUCCCAGCUACUCAGGAGGCUGAGGCAGGAGAAUAGCUUGAACCCGGGGAGCCGAGGUUGCAGUGAGCCGAGAUUGCAGCACUGCAUUCCAGCCUGGGUGACAGAGCAAGACUCUGUCUCAA
rnacentral:SRP_RNA from 1 species